rnacentral:rRNA from 1 species
GAUGAACGCUGGCGGCAUGCCUUACACAUGCAAGUCGAACGGCAGCACGGGAGCAAUCCUGGUGGCGAGUGGCGAACGGGUGAGUAAUAUAUCGGAACGUGCCCAGUCGUGGGGGAUAACGUAGCGAAAGCUACGCUAAUACCGCAUACGAUCUAUGGAUGAAAGCGGGGGAUCGCAAGACCUCGCGCGAUUGGAGCGGCCGAUAUCAGAUUAGGUAGUUGGUGAGGUAAAGGCUCACCAAGCCGACGAUCUGUAGCUGGUCUGAGAGGACGACCAGCCACACUGGGACUGAGACACGGCCCAGACUCCUACGGGAGGCAGCAGUGGGGAAUUUUGGACAAUGAGCGCAAGCCUGAUCCAGCAAUGCCGCGUGCAGGAUGAAGGCCUGG